rnacentral:tRNA from 1 species
AGUUAAGAUCUUGAUAUAAGUAUAUGUUUUGAAAA